UCGGGAAUUUGGGCAAUGGGCGAAAGCCUGACCCAGCAACGCCGCGUGAGGGAUGAAGUAUUUCGGUAUGUAAACCUCGAAAGAAUGGGAAGAAUAAAUGACGGUACCAUUUAUAAGCUCCGGCUAACUACGUGCCAGCAGCCGCGGUAAUACGUAGGGAGCAAGCGUUGUUCCGAUUUACUGGGCGUAAAGGGCGCGUAGGCGGCGCGGUAAGUCACUUGUGAAAUCUCUGAGCUUAACUCAGAACGGCCAAGUGAUACUGCUGUGCUAGAGUGCGGAAGAGGCAACCGGAAUUCUUGGUGUAGCGUUGAAAUGCGUAGAUAUCAAGAGGAACACCUGAGGCGAAGGCGGGUUGCUGGGCCGACACCGACGCUGGUGCGCGAAAGCCAGGGGAGCAAACG
rnacentral:rRNA from 1 species